rnacentral:rRNA from 1 species
UACGAGGGGGGCGAGCGUUGUUCGGAAUUAUUGGGCGUAAAGGGUGCGUAGGCGGUUUGGUAAGUCUCGUGUGAAAUCUCCGGGCUCAACUCGGAGCCUGCACGAGAAACUGCCGGGCUUGAGUGUGGGGGAGGUGAGUGGAAUUCCUGGUGUAGCGGUGAAAUGCGUAGAUAUCAGGAGGAACACCUGUGGCGAAAGCGGCUCACUGGACCAUAACUGACGCUGAUGCACGAAAGCUAGGGGAGCAAACAGG